rnacentral:rRNA from 1 species
UGCCUCAGUAACGGCGAGUGAAGCGGCAACAGCUCAAAUUUGAAAUCUGGCCCCUUCGGGGUCCGAGUUGUAAUUUGUAGAGGAUGUUUCGGGUGCGGCGCCGAUCUAAGUCCCUUGGAACAGGGCGUCACAGAGGGUGAGAAUCCCGUACGUGAUUGGCGACCAAUCCCAUGUGAAACCCCUUCGACGAGUCGAGUUGUUUGGGAAUGCAGCUCAAAAUGGGUGGUAAAUUUCAUCUAAAGCUAAAUACCGGCCAGAGACCGAUAGCGCACAAGUAGAGUGAUCGAAAGAUGAAAAGCACUUUGGAAAGAGAGUCAAAAAGUACGUGAAAUUGUUGAAAGGGAAGCGCUUGCGACCAGACCUGUCCGCGGGCGAUCAACCUCCGUUCUCGGGGGUGCACUUGUUCGCGAUCAGGCCAGCAUCGGUUUGGGCGGCGGGAUAAAGGCCUUGGGAACGUAGCUUCCUUCGGGAAGUGUUAUAGCCCUCGGUGCAAUGCCGCCAGCCCGGACCGAGGACCGCGCUUCGGCUAGGAUGCUGGCGUAAUGGUCGUAAGCGACCCGUCUUGAAACACGGACCAAGGAGUCUAACAUCUAUGCGAGUGUUUGGGUGUCAAAUCCAUACGCGUAAUGAAAGUGAACGGAGGUGAGAACCCUUAAGGGCGCAUCAUCGACCGAUCCAGAUGUCUUCGGAUGGAUUUGAGUACGAGCAUAGCUGUUGGGACCCGAAAA